rnacentral:rRNA from 1 species
AGUGAACGCUGGCGGUAGGCCUAACACAUGCAAGUCGAACGGCAGCACAGUAAGAGCUUGCUCUUACGGGUGGCGAGUGGCGGACGGGUGAGGAAUACAUCGGAAUCUACUUUUUCGUGGGGGAUAACGUAGGGAAACUUACGCUAAUACCGCAUACGACCUACGGGUGAAAGCAGGGGAUCUUCGGACUUUGCGCGAUUGAAUGAGCCGAUGUCGGAUUAGCUAGUUGGCGGGGUAAAGGCCCACCAAGGCGACGAUCCGUAGCUGGUCUGAGAGGGUGAUCAGCGACACUGGAACUGAGACACGGUCCAGACUCCUGCGGGAGGCAGCGGUGGGGAAUAUUGGACAAUGGGCGCAAGCCUGAUCCAGCCAUACCGCGUGGGUGAAGAAGGCCUUCGGGUUGUAAAGCCCUUUUGUUGGGAAAGAAAAGCAGCAGGUUAAUACCCCGCUGUUCUGACGGUACCCAAAGAAUAAGCACCGGCUAACUUCGUG